AAUGUCUCUGGUUCCAAGCCAGAUCUCUCGCUCCGGCUCAUUUUCUUUGAUGGAGAAGAGGCUUUUCUUCACUGGUCUCCUCAAGAUUCUCUGUACGGCUCUCGGCACUUGGCCCAGAAGAUGGCUUCCACCCCACACCCUCCCGGAUCGAGAGGCACUAACCAACUGCAUGGCAUGGAUCUGCUGGUCUUACUAGAUUUAAUUGGAGCUGCAAAUCCAACAUUUCCCAAUUUUUUCCCCAAAACCACCAGAUGGUUUAAUAGACUCCAAGCAAUUG